rnacentral:ncRNA from 1 species
GACCUUAAAAAGUCCUUUAAACACAAAGGUUUGGUCCUGGCCUUGAAAUCAAUUGUUACUUAAUAUACACAUGCAAGUCUCCGCACCCCUGUGAAAACGCCCUUUUAAACCCCCUAGGAACAAGGAGCCGGUAUCAGGCGCAACUCUUAGCCCACAACACCUAGCUUUGCCACACCCACAAGGGUAUUCAGCAGUGAUUAACAUUGAAAAUUAGCGUCAGCUUGAUUCAGUUAAAGUAUAAAGAGCCGGCAAAUCUGGUGCCAGCCGCCGCGGUUACACCACGUGGCUCAAAUUGAUCUUAUUCGGCGUAAAGCGUGAUUAAAGUUACUUAAAGAUGUAGUUUAAUUAAAACUAAGCUGUGACACGCUUGUUCUUGAGAAACCCAUAAACGAAAGUUAUUACAUAUACAACAACUUGAACUCACGACAGCUAAGACACAAACUGGGAUUAGAUACCCCACUAUGCCUAGCCGUAAACCUUAACUUACACAUCAAUCGCCCGGGAACUACGAGCCAAGCUUAAAACCCAAAGGACUUGACGGUACCCCAUAUCCCUCUAGAGGAGCCUGUCCUAUAAUCGAUAAUCCCCGUUUAACCUCACCAUUUUUAGCCUAUUCCACCUGUAUACCUCCGUCGUCAGCUUACCACGUGAGCGCUUUAAGUGAGCCUAAUGUCUUCUCGUCAAUACGUCAGGUCAAGGUGCAGUAAAUAAAAUGGGAAGAGAUGGGCUACACUCUCUACUAUUAGAGAAAACGAAAGACCACCUAUGAAACCUGGUCAGAAGGCGGAUUUAGCAGUAAAAAAGGACCAGAGAGCCUUUUUUAACCCGGCACUGGGGUGUGUACACACCGCCCGUCACCCUCUUCAAAGCUAACUACUAGUAAUUAACCCCCCUUAAGCAACACAGAAGAGGCAAGUCGUAACAUGGUAAGUAUACCGGAAGGUGUGCUUGGAAA